rnacentral:rRNA from 1 species
GAUGAACGCUAGCGGCAGGCUUAAUACAUGCAAGUCGUUGGGCAGCAUGACUGUAGCAAUACAGUUGAUGGCGACUGGCAAACGGGUGUGGAACACGUACACAACCUUCCUUUAAGUGGGGAAUAGGCCGGGGAAACCCGGAUUAAUACCCCGUAAUAUAGUGAUUAGGCAUCUUUUUACUAUUAUAGCAGAAAUGAGCUUGAUGAUGGGUGUGCGCCUGAUUAGGCAGUGGGCGGGGUAAAGGCCCACCAAACCUACGAUCAGUAACUGGUGUGAGAGCACGACCAGUCAGACGGGCACUGAGACACGGGCCCGACUCCUACGGGAGGCAGCAGUAAGGGAUAUUGGUCAAUGGACGCAAGUCUGAACCAGCCAUGCCGCGUGGAGGAUGAAGGUCCUCUGGAUUGUAAACUUCUUUUAUCUGGGAAGAAACCCACGAAUUCUUUUGUGGUUGACGGUACCAGAUGAAUAAGCACCGGCUAACUCCGUGCCAGCCGCCGCAGUAAAAC